rnacentral:rRNA from 1 species
UACGUAGGCAGCAAGCGUUGUUCGGAGUUACUGGGCGUAAAGGGUGUGUAGGCGGUUCUUUAAGUUUGGUGUGAAAUCUCCCGGCUCAACUGGGAGGGUGCGCCGAAUACUGAGGGACUAGAGUACGGGAGAGGAAAGUGGAAUUCCUGGUGUAGCGGUGAAAUGCGUAGAUAUCAGGAGGAACACCGGUGGUGUAGACGGCUUUCUGGACCGACACUGACGCUGAGACACGAAGCGUGGGUAGCAAACAGG